rnacentral:miRNA from 1 species
UAUCACAGUCUUGAGAUGGGCG